AAUAAAAUUUCAUUCUCCUUAAUAAAGUAAUAAAUUUAAGAAUGCAAGGCGUAGGUUACGCCUUCUACCGCCCUCUGUCGGAAAUCGGCAGGAAGUCAUCGACCGUGAGCUGUCUGAUCCUGAUCGGUUUCUUGCGCCAUCUAGCGUGGGAUAGCUGCACUCUUGUAUUCCUCUAUGGACUUACGUGGAUCAUAGUUGCCAUAUUGAAAAAUAGAAGUAAAUCGUCAUCGGGCGUUUGCCUUCCUUCCUUUUAUUCGUAACCAGACUUAAUUAUGGGUUUUUUUUUAAGCUCCGCGUUAAUCGCGAAGAGUUUAGUAUUAUAUUUUAUUGUUGACUUAAUUUCCAUUGAACGUCCGGAGCCGGCUGUUUGCGGUGCGAGCCGAUUUAGGCUUGGCAACACUAGUCCCGUCCAAAAUGGCGAAUGAGAUGGGAUUUCUUUUUGCCGGAGAGAGAGAUGAAGGGAUAUCGUUGGCCCAGGCCAAAAUCGGGCGCAAUCGCCCGUUUGAGUGAGUUUCAAUAGUGAUUCGGUUGUGUAUUUCUUUUUAGUUGGUUAGUUUCUAACGAAGCGUUGCAUAUUUUCCAGCCCCGGAAUCGGACGUGAAUAAAACCAUGUUCUGAUGGUGAUAGGCGACGCCCAGCGUGCCCGGAUGUCGAAAUAGGUGCAAUUUUGCCCUCUGCUGGCCCUUUCUCCAUCAACGGGUUCACGCCGCGUCGCCUAAACCUCGCGCCGGCCGCGAGAGGUUCCCCUGGUAUCCCGGUAACUUGUGGGCAGCAGAUUGCUGCUGUUCUACCUACUCCCGACGUUUCACCCCAAGGCUGCUGACGUGGCAGUUGUGGUGUUUCGAGGUCAGAUCUUUCCACGUUUACUUAUUGACUGAAUGAACCGGCCUUUCGGUUCUGGCGCCCUUCCGUGUAACUACCUUAAUAUAUAUUGACCGCUGUAUCCGUUUCUACCAGUAAUGAUAAUUUAGAGCUCGCUGACCCACGUUUGUUCCCUUAAAAUAUAAACUCAACAUUAUUGUUCUCGUGAGCUAGCCCUCGGCAAACAAUUGUUACCGUGUAUCUAGGAUAACAAAUUAGCAUAAACAAUUUAGAUUUUUUUUCCUGAAUUCAAUAAAUACCUGGUUCCUCUUCAA